AGUGAACGCUGGCGGCGUGCUUAACACAUGCAAGUCGAGCGAGAACGGAAUAUAGCUUGCUAUAUUUGUCAGCUAAGUGGCGCACGGGUGAGUAAUGUAUAGAUAACCUGCCCUAAAGAAAGGAAUAACAGUUGGAAACGACUGCUAAUGCCCUAUAUGCCUUUAAUACAUAAGUACGCAAGGGUAACGCUUUAGUGCUUAAGGAUAGGUCUGUAUGGUAUCAGCUUGUUGGUGAGGUAAUGGCUCACCAAGGCUAUGACGCCUAACUGGUUUGAGAGGAUGAGCAGUCACACUGGAACUGAGACACGGUCCAGACUCCUACGGGAGGCAGCAGUGGGGAAUAUUGCACAAUGGACGAAAGUCUGAUGCAGCAACGCCGCGUGGAGGAUGACACAUUUCGGUGCGUAAACUCCUUUUAUAUAGGAAGAUAAUGACGGUACUAUAUGAAUAAGCACCGGCUAACUCCGUGCCAGCCGCCGCCGUAA
rnacentral:rRNA from 1 species